rnacentral:rRNA from 1 species
UACGUAGGUGGCAAGCGUUAUCCGGAAUUAUUGGGCGUAAGGCGCGCGCAGGUGGUUUCUUAAGUCUGAUGUGAAAGCCCACGGCUCAACCGUGGAGGGUCAUUGGAAACUGGGAGACUUGAGUGCAGAAGAGGAAAGUGGAAUUCCAUGUGUAGCGGUGAAAUGCGCAGAUAUCGGGAAGAACACCCGUGGCGAAGGCGGCUCUCUGGGACGGUACUGACGCUGAGACGCGAAAGCGUGGGGAGCGAACAGG